rnacentral:rRNA from 1 species
GAUCCUGGCUCAGGACGAACGCUGGCGGCGUGCUUAACACAUGCAAGUCGAACGAGAAUCUGCGGAUCGAGGAUUCGUGCAAGUGAAGCAGAGGACAGUGGCGGACGGGUGAGUAACGCGUGAGGAACCUGCCUUUCAGGAGGGGACAACAGUUGGAAACGACUGCUAAUACCGCAUGAUUACGGUUUUAGGGGCACUCCCUGAGACGUACAAAGUAUUUAUCGCUAGAAAGAUGGCCUCG